CAUAGCCAUAAAAAUGGAUAAGCCUCAAACAACUUAAUUCACAUAACCAUUUCAAAAUGAAUCCAAGACUUACCCCAAUGUCUCGAAACAGUAAAAGAAUGCUUCAAACUGGAAAUUCUCUGUGAUUAAGACUCAUUCCGGGAUUUCUAAUAAUUAGGUCCCUACCGGCAGAAGGAAAGGCUAUUUCAGUCAUCUCAGUUUAGCUUCCAGCACUUGCCUGAUCAAAAUCCCACACUAAUCAAAUAUUUAUCAUAGUUUUCAAAAUCUGCUUACUGCUACAAAAAUGUUUCAGAGCAUUAAUACAGCUGAAGUUUAGCAUACACACCGUCACUUUUUGGACACUAAGUUGGGAUUAUAUUUUAAGUAGCAUUUUGACCAGAGUGAGGAGCACCUGCCCAGGAUGCACCCAUGGAUCUGGGCUCAUACCACCGUCCAUUUUGCUGCUCUUCUCAGCAGGAACCCACUUCAAGUGUUCAGCCCAUCCAGUGCAUCCUCACAGAGGACUUCCUGACUGGUAACAGGAGUGAGACCUGCCUGCCUCUUUUGGGGGAAUUUGCUCCUGUGAACAGAUGAGCAGAAAUCUGCCUUUUAAGCACAGAAAGCCACAAGGAUGUUAUCUCAGGUGUACGGAUGGUUCAGCAACGCAGCAGCCAGGACACCGGACUAAGAGCAGAAGGGUUUGGCUGCUGGCUCAGCCACAGCCAUGUCCCCUCCCCAGUCCAUCACAGCUUACAAUGACGUAUAUCUCAUACCAGAGAGAACUUCCAGUGAGAGACAUCGAGCUCCACCAGGACGAACUUCACAAACUCCACUCCCCUUUACUCCAAAGGGCCAACAUCUGCAACAUUUCCUUGAGGAUGUAGGGGUGACCAGCAAGAGUUGUGGCUGCAGCUGUGAAGCAUCAUAUCCAUGCAUGCUGCCUGUAUGUGUGUUAAAACAACCUCGACGGCCAAAACCAGUGGCUAAAAUUCCAGUAAGACAAAGCCUGAAUGCACCGUGCAAUUUAUGCCUCGUGCACGCACCGGGUGAGCACCGCUAGCACAACGUGCUGUCUGCAGUGAGAGCUGGCUCCUCCUUUACGGCAGGAAAGCCCUCCACAGUCACUCCACGUUAUAAACAAACAACGUUAUUCAAGAAAUUAUAGUCCGUUUUGGAAGCUGCAACCAUUAAUUACUUUUGUGGUUUUAGGUUUCUAAACACAGCGCCAGGGUGCUUAAAGAUCCCCCUGAUUAAAUAAUUCAAAAUGUUUGCACUAUAUAACAUGUCUGAAGGGGAGAGAAAACUAUGCUAAACACUUUGAAUUCACUAGCAAGCACCUCAUUAACAUGCUAUGAUAUCAAAUAUUUAUUACCUUCUCCGGUGUAAUGAGCUCAUUUAAGACAAGCGUGAGAAAACCCCAUCUUAUAUUAAAGUUGGCAAUGUUUUAUUGAUGUGCACUUUAAUAUUCACUUUAGGCCACACCAAAAUAUAAACACGCAAUUAAUAUUUCAUUAAUGAGAAAGAAUGAUCUAUUUCUCUGGCCAGUGCAGGCUUAUUUCAUUCGAAAAAGACAAAGGAGGGGUCAUGUGCUGUAAUGCUGCAGCACACACAGCUCCGAGAGGGGAGCAAUCAAUAUUCAGUUAUUAAAAAUCUCUUUUUCCCUUCCCAGACUUGCCCAGAGAAGCGCAGCCUUGCCAUUUCCACAGGAGCUGCAAUCUGAUUCUUUUUUUUGUGGGAAAAGGAGAGGACCAGAUUAUAGGGGCCUGGGACUAAAGGCAGCCUUGGGACACUGCUUGUGCCAUAGCACAUGGUGAGAAGAGGGAUUUGGCCGGACGUGGAGGGAGCUGGGGAGGUGCCAGGUCAUCCAGGUCAAUGGCUUAACCACUGCAAGCAACCUCCAUGUGAAAUAUUGAUGGGUUCACGCCUGUGCUGCAGAUGUCAGCUCCUGAAGGCAGUUCCACUCCUGGAACUUUGCAGGGAUGCCAUGAGAGGCUUGGGGUGGCCAAGCCCAGCACAGCACCGAGCUCCGUGCCACCACCCCUGUCUGUCUCACCCCAUGGAGGGACCCCGGAGAGCUGUCAGCCUCUGGUGGGGGCAGAGAGGACCUGGAGAAGCACAGCUGCAGCAGUUUCAGCAGGACCCUGGCAUUAUUUAAUCUCCCCAUGAUAGUAAUUCAGGUACAUCUAGGAGACCACCACCCUUAUCCAGGUCUCUCUUCCAGAUCUAACUUUGGAUUCAUUUUUUUUCCACAUGGAUAGAUGUGCAUGUGUUUUUGUGGCAGGGACCCCAGCUGCAGUGUUUGACAGGUAUUAGACGGUAUUUCCUAAGCAGGGCAGUAGAUCAAAAUUUUGUUUCUGAAAGAAAAAUUAAACAAAAGCAAAUUAAACAAAAUACACUGUAAUCAUGAGUUUCAUCUGAUUUGGUCCACCGUACUUAGAGGUUAGAAGACUGAGUAUACCUUUGCACACAAGGAAGAAUACUGCUGUAGCAGCAUCAGUGCAGAAAGAUUUAGAAUUGCUCAUCUUCCUGGCAAGAUUUGUAAGACUAGGCAAUCUGUAAAUCACAGUCAAAAUUCAUUGUUUCAUUAUGUACAGAUAAAUGGGAAUCGAGUAAAUCCUACAGGAGAUUUAUUUUCAGAGCUGUUGGGUAUUAGGUAACAUGCUUUAUCUUUGACCAUUAUUGCUAAAAAUAAAAGAUUUCAAAUAUUA